rnacentral:lncRNA from 1 species
AACAAACACCCCCAUACUUAGGGUUUUACUCGUCCUCGAGAAAAGGAUGGUUUAGAAAAAUAUCUAGGGUUAAAACAUUGUAAAGCAUUCUCUUCAUAGCUGCAGGGUGUUGUAAAAAUCCACUGUGUACCGUAGUCAGGGAAAUAUAUGGUCAAGAGUAGAGGUCCUUUCUUCUCAAUCCUGUCACUUGGAGUUUUUUGUAUAUUUUUGAAAAAGAAAUUUAGCAUACCUUUAUCCUCAUAGGUUCUCUCAGAUCGCUCAUUUAUCUUUUGUAUAUCUCACUGAGGCUGUUUUAAUUUGCAGAAAUUAUCAAGCAUACUUACCUUGCAUUUAUUGCCUGAUCAAAACGAGAUUCGAGGAGAGGAAUGCCAUACUCUUAGAUCAAAGACUUUGAAAAUUAAAAACUUGUCAACUCUUACUGGCAUAUUGCUUAUUAGAGGGACCAUAGGCUAUCAUUUUCUUUCUCUUCUUUUUUUUCUUUUCUGGUGGAUACCGUGGUACCCCUAAUUCUACUGCCGGACACUUGCCCAUUUUUUUCUGCGAGGUUGUCGAGCACUUGCUCCUUUUUAUUUCCUCGAAAUAUUCAUAUUUUUGCAUAGCCCAUGCCUCUAACGCAAUAAUACUUCGGAAGAGUGAAUCUUUCUGAGGAGCAUGAUAAAUCUCUCAACAAGGGUCUAACUCGUUUUGAACAAACUCAAUACAGAGCAGAUAGCUUUUAUAAUUAUCAUAAUUAAUAUUAUCAGGUUUAGCAGGCAUAUAAAACACUGAGGAUGGUAGCUAGAAUUUUUGAAGAUUUUGAAAUAAAUUCUCCAAGCAACAGCGAUAUCAAGAGUAAGGUACUCAUACUCUACAUUCCAUAGUGACUUAAGUAACACAUGGUUUUUAAAUAAUUUUUUAUAAUUGCAAGUUUUCAGGAAAUAUCACAGAGUCAGAUUGAUCAUGAUUAGAAAUAUUUUAAUCUUGUUAAUUUAUCAUGUCGGAGACAAUAUUCUGUACGAACCAAGAUAUAUGUGUAUGUGUAAAGUGUGCAGUGUAAAUCAUGGAGUGGUGUGGUCGAAGUGCGUUUGGCAUGUCGAGGGAUCUCCCCCAUACUUGUUUUCUGCUUACUUGCAUAAAAAUAAAGUAUAGACACACAAGACAUAAUAAUCUUUAUUAAUCUCGAGGCAUUUAUUACAACUGACUAAUGAUGAACUAAAGCUAAUAAUCGAUCUAAGUCAAAUCUAAUGAUGAAUAACUAAGAUACACUGCCUCAAGAUCUAAUAUAGAUAACUUAGUGGCGCUCUAACUCCCUAAUCUUCUUAUUGGCACUAGCGAGAUCACGUUUAAGACCUAGUAUAACGGUGUUUUGGUUAGAGAGCUGCCUAUUGAUGGAAUUAAUCGAGGACUGGAGCUCUAUGAUGACCUUGUCUAGCCUACGAACGUCCUCAUCUACAUCUGCUAUAGUCUUGCGGCACUUAGGAGGUGUCUCGAGAGUGUUGAGAGCGUGCUUCGGGGCUUCCUUUGGAGGGAUGAAACGGACUUUGGCUGCUCUAACCCCCUCAAAGUAAGGCCUCUCCUCCUCUGUGGUGUAGCGGACGCUGCUGAUCUCGCCUCUCCGGUUG